AUUGAACGCUGGCGGCAUGCUUUACACAUGCAAGUCGAACGGUAACAGGACGAAAGGUGCUGACGAGUGGCGAACGGGGGAGUAAUGCUUAGGAACGUGCCACGUAGUGGGGGAUAACUACUAGAAAGAGUAACUAAUACCGCAUACGAACUAUGGAUGAAAACGGGGGACCGUAAGGUCUCGCGCGAUUGGUGCGGCCGAUGUCAGAUUGGGUAGUUGGUGGGGUAAAAGCUCACCAAGCCAACGAUCUGUAGCAGGUCUGAGAGGACGACCGGCCACACUGGAACUGAGACACGGCCCAGACUCCUACGGGAGGCAGCAGUGGGGAAUUUUGGACAAUGGGCGAAAGCCUGAUCCAGCAAUGCCGCGUGCAUGAAGAAGGCCUUCGGGUUGUAAACUGCUUUUAUACGGAACGAAACGGCUCUGGUUAAUACCCGGGGCUAAUGACGGUACCGUAAGAAUAAGCACCGGCUAACUACGUG
rnacentral:rRNA from 1 species